GUGGGGAAUAUUGGACAAUGGGGGGAACCCUGAUCCAGCCAUGCCGCGUGUGUGAAGAAGGCCUUUUGGUUGUAAAGCACUUUAAGCGAGGAGGAGGCUACCGAGAUUAAUACUCUUGGAUAGUGGACGUUACUCGCAGAAUAAGCACCGGCUAACUCUGUGCCAGCAGCCGCAGUAAUACAGAGGGUGCAAGCGUUAAUCGGAUUUACUGGGCGUAAAGCGCGCGUAGGUGGCCAAUUAAGUCAAAUGUGAAAUCCCCGAGCUUAACUUGGGAAUUGCAUUCGAUACUGGUUGGCUAGAGUAUGGGAGAGGAUGGUAGAAUUCCAGGUGUAGCGGUGAAAUGCGUAGAGAUCUGGAGGAAUACCGAUGGCGAAGGCAGCCAUCUGGCCUAAUACUGACACUGAGGUGCGAAAGCAUGGGGAGCAAACAGGAUUAGAAACCCGGGUAGUCC
rnacentral:rRNA from 1 species